UGAUGUUUUUUGCAAAAGCAA
rnacentral:piRNA from 1 species